AUACGGAGGGGACAAGCGUUAUUCGGAACCACUGGGCGUAAAGGACGCGUAGGCGGGUUAUUAAGUCGGGUGUGAAAUCCAAUGGCUCAACCAUUGAACUGCAUUCGAAACUGAUAACCUAGAGUAUGGAAGGGGCAGGUGGAAUUAGUGGUGUAGGGGUAAAAUCCGUAGAUAUCACUAGGAAUACCGAAAGCGAAGGCGACCUGCUGGGACAUUACCGACGCUGCGGCGUGAAAGCGUGGGGAGCAAACAGGAUUAGAAACCCGAGUAGUCC
rnacentral:rRNA from 1 species